ensembl:lncRNA
UUUUCAUGCUGCACAAAUAUCAACACAAGUCAAUCAGUUGCCUCAUCAAUCUUUCAACCCGUUUUCUUGCUAACAUAUUAUAGAAAACAGACAUCCAGGAAGAUCCCAAUGAUUUUUUUUUAAUAUAGUUGGCAAUCAAAGAUGAUUUUCAUUUGAAUCAUUAUUUACACAUAAGUAUGUACAGUGGUCAAAGAGGAGCAGGAGGCUGUAGUCUCGCUGUGCGCAUGUGCACCACAGAGGAGGACAAGGGUGGAGGAGGGCGGGGGUAGAAGUAGCUAGAGUUCAUCCUUUCAAACAAAUGUAUGAAUAAAUCUAACAGCGGCUUAUUUCAUUCAUCCAUUCAACAUCACCGGUAUGUGUGCAUAGCUCGGACAUGGAUUUGGCACGCACACACACACGCGCACACACACAAUAAAUAUACACACCCAGUAUAUAAACAAUGCACUGACAGACAGUGUGCACUGGCUGAUCCUCGUGUAAAAGUCUCAUCUGAUCACGUCCAUGGACACAGAGCUACAGCGGAACAGAAAUGCAACACACACGCACGCACAUACACACAAACCACUACAAUCGGAGCCUUUCGUGUCAUUGCCGGGUUUAUAUUUGAGAGUUUCAUUCUUAUGUUUUCGUUUGAGUCAGAAAACAUAAGGCUUUGUCUUUGUUAAAAAUAAACAGAAGUUCUUUAGCACAUCUAUGUGCAUUUUUGGAGACGUGAACAUUUUAAAGACCUUUAUACCCUGCGAGUAUAAAUACUAAAGCCUGUACUUAGAAUCCUGUGCAGCACAUUUAAUCUAUACUAUGGAAAGAAGAGCAACAUGUUUAGACAUUUGAACGGGUAAACCUGGGUUAUUUUAGAUUAGACCUUUGCAUCAGCACAGAUGGUGCAUUGGUCAUUUUCAGUAAUAGAUCUACACUUUCAUUUUUGGUGCCUCAUAUGUGCUGGACUGACUUUAAUCAUGCUGAAAUCAUGUAGUAAACUUGGGAGAUUAUGAUCAUUUUUCACCUCAGUACUAGGACGAAGGAGUCUGUUGGGAUUAUAAGCUACGUCUCCAAAGACACAUCAGAGUUCAAUGACUCAAAAACAAGCAAAAAUCUCAAAUAUAAAAAAAAUGAUGACUACUGAAGAGGCACACAACAGCUGGACACACUCAGUCAUUACAGUACUUGAGUAGAUGGUCAAGGCAUACACACAUCUAGGGCUUUGGUGCAUCACGGGACAAUCAGGAGUGUUUUUUUCCUUCUUCAGUUCGAAAUAGUACGACAGGCACCGAUCUCAC